ACAGGUCUUCGGACGCUGACGAGUGGCGAACGGGUGAGUAAUACAUCGGAACGUGCCCAGUCGUGGGGGAUAACUACUCGAAAGAGUAGCUAAUACCGCAUACGAUCUGAGGAUGAAAGCGGGGGACCUUCGGGCCUCGCGCGAUUGGAGCGGCCGAUGGCAGAUUAGGUAGUUGGUGGGAUAAAAGCUUACCAAGCCGACGAUCUGUAGCUGGUCUGAGAGGACGACCAGCCACACUGGGACUGAGACACGGCCCAGACUCCUACGGGAGGCAGCAGUGGGGAAUUUUGGACAAUGGGCGAAAGCCUGAUCCAGCAAUGCCGCGUGCAGGAUGAAGGCCUUCGGGUUGUAAACUGCUUUUGUACGGAACGAAAAAGCUUCUCCUAAUACGAGAGGCCCAUGACGGUACCGUAAGAAUAAGCACCGGCUAACUACGUGCCAGCAGCCGCG
rnacentral:rRNA from 1 species